GCCCAGCACCGAAUCCUGUAUCGUUCUGAUACUAGGAAAUGUGGUGUUUAGGCCGUGCUUUGUGCCGGUAUGACUCUCCUCAAGUCCACUUGAUUGUGGCUUCAGGCCCAGAGAGGGUGUAAGGCCCGUGGAGGCGAGUCGUCCGGUGCCCGGCACGUCCUUCGAGUCGGGUUGUUUGGGAAUGCAGCCCAAAGCGGGUGGUAAACUCCAUCCAAGGCUAAAUACUAGCACGAGUCCGAUAGCGAAGAAGUACCGCGAGGGAAAGUUGAAAAGAACUUUGAAGAGAGAGUUCAAGAGUACGUGAAACCGCUGAGAGGCAAACUGGUGGAGCUGAAAUGAUCUUGAGGAAUUCAGCCCUUCCUGCUAGAGUUGUCGCCGGUUGUGAGAUCUCACGACUCCGCUGGUGUUCAUCUUCGUGAAGGAUAGGUGCACUUUCUUCUUGAUCGGACCACGACCAGCGACUUGUCUUGUCUGGCAUAAGUUGGAAGGUAACGUUGGCUUCGGCAAACGUAUUAUAACCGCUUAUUCGGUAUGAGCAAGGCGUUGGAUGCGAUGUAGGCGCUUGCCCUUUGGGCUCGUACGUUGUCUCUUUCAGGCGUGUCGCCGGCUUCACUGCCUUUGGCAGGGAUGCUGGAGACGUGUCGGUUAGCGAUGGCCUCUGCGAUUGGCGUCGAAAGUCUGUGGUUGUGAAGUAGGCAGUCCACCUGACCCGUCUUGAAACACGGACCAAGGAGUCUAACAUGUGCGCGAGUCAUUGGGCAAUACGAAACCUAAAGGCGCAGUGAAAGUAAAGAUCCAUUUUGUUGGAUUGAGGUGGGAUCCUGAGUCACGUGCUCGGGCGCACUACCGGCCCGUUCGACAUGUCAUCAUGCGGGCGGAGCAAGAGCGUACACGUUGGGACCCGAAAGAUGGUGAACUAUGCUUGCGCAGGUCGAAGCCAGAGG
rnacentral:rRNA from 1 species